rnacentral:piRNA from 1 species
UGAAAAUAUUAGUGGAAAGAUUAGGAGGAA